GAUGAAGAACGCAGCGAAAUGCGAUAAGUAAUGUGAAUUGCAGAAUUCAGUGAAUCAUCGAAUCUUUGAACGCACAUUGCGCCCGCCAGUAUUCUGGCGGGCAUGCCUGUUCGAGCGUCAUUUCAACCAUCAAGCCCCCGGCUUGUGUUGGGGACCUGCGGCUGCCGCAGGCCCUGAAAACCAGUGGCGGGCUCGCUAGUCACUCCGAGCGUAGUAAUACAUCUCGCUCAGGGCGUGCUGUGGGUUCCGGCCGUUAAAAAGCCUUAUUUACCCAAGGUUGACCUCGGAUCAGGUAGGAAGACCAGCUGAACUUAAGCAUAUCAAUAAGCGGAGGA
rnacentral:misc_RNA from 1 species